rnacentral:rRNA from 1 species
AACGAACGCUGGCGGCAUGCCUAACACAUGCAAGUCGAACGAGACCUUCGGGUCUAGUGGCGCACGGGUGCGUAACGCGUGGGAACCUGCCCGUAGGUUCGGAAUAACUCCCCGAAAGGGGUGCUAAUACCGGAUAAUGUCUUCGGACCAAAGAUUUAUCGCCCUUGGAUGGGCCCGCGUUGGAUUAGCUAGUUGGUAGGGUAAAAGCCUACCAAGGCGACGAUCCAUAGCUGGUCUGAGAGGAUGAUCAGCCACACUGGGACUGAGACACGGCCCAGACUCCUACGGGAGGCAGCAGUGGGGAAUAUUGGAAAAUGGGCGAAAGGCUGAUCCAGCAAUGCCGCGUGAGUGAUGAAGGCCUUAGGGUUGUAAAGCUCUUUUACCCGGGAUGAUAAUGACAGUACCGGGAGAAUAAGCUCCGGCUAACUCCGUG